GAAGACCUUUCUCAAUUGAUUUGGAUGAAGGAGCUGGCAUCAAGGUGUGUGUCUGAAGGAGAACAGAAGGAACCUCAGUCUUGAGGUAAGAUAUAGAAUCAUACAGAGGCCAGAUUUGCUCUCUGUGAGAACCCAAAACUGUAGGUUUAGUGCCCCCGAAGUCUAAUAAGGGAACAAGAUUUGUUGGAGUAUUAAUGCUAGGCUCCUCCCAUCUUAUGCUCAGUCUGUGUGUGUGUAUGUGUAAACAAACCAACCAACCACCCACAACCCAACAGUGACAUUCCUUCAAAGGAAACCAAAAUAUGUACUGGGAUCCCUGAGAAAACGUACUGUUCAGAGAUUGGGGGCUUGUAACAAUAUGCUAUUUACUGAAACUAUUUGUAUGCCGCAUGUAUUUUCAUAUGCAUUUUUAUAAUAAAUGCCUACCAUACUCAUACCACAUUUCACAUUUCCUAAAGUAAGGACACAUAACUCUUUUAUACAUAUUAUAAUAUUACCUUUGAUGUGCAUUUUUGCAUGUAAAUCUUACAUAUAAAUCUUGCAGGCUUGCUUUAUUUAGUAGCUUAUUUGUUUAUUUAAAAAGCACCUGACAAUGUAUGAGCAGUUCAGACAGAAGGGAUUGCUCAAUACAGGAGGCAGCCAGAUGUGAGGAAAGCUUGAUCCAGUCAGAAGUACUAAAUUCUGUGUAUAAAUCUAUUCAAAACACAUUCCUCCUGCUUGCCUACCCUGGACAUUAAUAGCUUCAUUUGCUUCACCAUGACUCAGAAAAGUGCAACUUUGCCUUGGGGGUGGGGGACAGCUUCUUCAACUCCUUACAGGCCACCAAAGAGGUAGACAGGACCCUUCCUAGGGUGUCACAACCCCAAACAUUUUGGGAGGACAAUUUGGGGCUCCCCUCCACCACCCCACCAACCCUGUCACCCCGUCACCCCCUCCCUGCCGCCAAUCCCUUUCUCGCCUGCCUGCUCACUGCCGCAACCUGCUCACUCGCCCUCUCCCCUCUCCUUUACCUUGUUUGCUGUCUUCUGCCUUCAGCUAUGCAGCCUCAGGAGAUGCCAUGUGAUCCAGAGCGGCCAGUGGAAGUUUGCCACACCCUGCACAGCAUUGAGAGACACCGCAGCAGCCAGAGCAUGGAAGCCAAAAUGGGACAUCCAGGAUUGUGUCCUGAACCCCUGGCCUACCUGGUAACAAGUCAGUAUGCAAGCAAGGCCUAAAGUCCAGGAAACACAGUCCAGGGUCAGUCCAAGUAAGCCAAGUCUAAAGUCCAGCAGUCAGGCUACAGUCCAGUCAAACCCAAAGCACAGUCCAGGAGUAUCCAAGCCAAAAUCCAUCUAAAUUGGCUGUUGAGGAGACACAGCGCCUCAGCUCUGCUUCCCUUGUGUGCUUUGCCUGCUGGGCUUGAUGAGGCAUAUGACCCUCACCUGUUGGAGCUGAGGAAUCACACUCUUUCUCUCAGAGCUAGCGAGCCCCACCUGGCCAGCUAGAGAGCUGGGCUGUGGGCCCUUGCCUGCCUCAGCCUCCUAGAGCACCCCUCCUUGCUGCUCCCUACUUCUAGAGCAUGCCAUGUUCAUGGAGACAGGGGCCCCUCUGGCUUUAGGGUCCUGCUGCUCUGGGUCCUGUGCAAUGACCCCCAUUCCCUCACCAUCUUCUGUCACCCUAUGAGUACUUCCCUCCCCCAGGCUUACCCCGAUGUGUCCCAGUCCUGGUUAUACCCCUCCUCCUUCCCAUCAUACUGCCACUUCGUGACAGAUUGGGAUCAGAAGAUGGGGCAACUUCUGUCAAUCUGGGAAGUCCCAGUUAAAUCGGGGAAAUUUGGGAGUUAUGGGGUGUCCCAGGUUUCCUCUGUGUGCAGUCCUGUAUUUGAAGGGAUGUCUGGUUCAAAUACAGUUUAAAGGUAAGGAACCCUUUGCUGAUGUGUGGAGUGUUAGAGGCAUCUCCGUGUAAGUAUAGUUCUUGAUAGCGCUCUGCCCAUUGCUGCUGUCUGUGAUUAUCUCUCCAGACAAGGUUUACAGCAGUGCAUUUUCUUGACUUAUGGUCCAGAGGCUGUCUCCGUGUACAUUUUGUGAGUUGAAUACUCUGACACAGCUUUAGCCUGUAGACAAUGGCACAUCAACUGGCAAACCACUGGGCAUUGCUCCUCGCCUUUCUGAGUACAGCUUGUGUCUUCUCACAGUAGUGAAUAUUCAACGGAAUCAGAGAAGCAUUCAAAAAGUUCAGGUAUGGCUGUUUGGGCAGUGUAGAUUCAAGACCACACUUUCUGCUUUGAGCUAUGGGCCCUUGAGAAAGAUCUUGCUUGCUACCAGGGCAUGAUCUGUGUUACAGUUGACACUGUGGUAGCUCCAUGUGACAAAAACACAGUUCAGUACCAAUCUCCUGCUGCCAGUGGCCUAAUCCUGGAUAUCUUCAGGACACUUGCUGCUUUGUCUUGGUAGAGAAGAAUGUGUUUGUGAUGCAGAGGCUGUGAUACUGCCAUCCAUACAUUUGAGGUAACCUGUACUGUUGUUUCUGGGGACUUUUGUUUUUCUCUAAUGAAUUGUUUCUAGUGACCAAUAAGAAAAGUAAGUAGGUCAAGUGGGCUCUUUCACAACCAUUUAACUGUGGUUUCAGCCACCAGGGGAAUAACAUGUAAAAUGUGUGCCAUGCCAUUGUCUCUCUGAACACAAUUUUGAUUUUGAAAGCGUAAGGAGAAGAUCCACAUUGUAGUGUCACUGUUGGGUUAAUUUCCAGCUUAUUCUGUGAGGCUCACAAAACAGAUACACAACACCGUGUGCUCAUAUGAUAACAUUGUUAUUUAAAAAUAAAACACUAAUGAUAACUGAUGAAAUCUAUUUUUCACUUUUUGUCCUGUUUGGCCUGAUUUAUUAAUAAUUUGUGUUCUGUCAUGGAAACAGGCUUUCUGUUACUUGCACUGUGCCCUGAAAUUGUUUUAACAGCAGCUUAUAUUUUACUAUUGGGUGACUUUUAGGAGCCAUUGCAGUGCACAAUGCCAUCUCCAUAUCUUUAGUUCAGAGAUUUCAGAAGGACACCCAAAUUCUUCAUGGAGUAGGGUGGAUUUCCAUUGCAGUAUUUAAGAGUUUUUUUAAAACUGGUCUUCUUCACAUAAUAAUCCUGGGCAGUUAAAAUGACUAAUAUGCUGCUGUUGUUAGUGGAUGUCUUCUGGGUUACCAAGGCAGCCUGAGAUUGGCAUAAGGUGUGAACAGGACCGUGGCUGAUAAAAGUUGUGACAGCAACAGCAGCAGACUAAGCUAUUCAUGCUUUCUGCUUCUUUUAAAGAGAAAAUAGCCAUUUGGUUCAUAGCGUUUGAACUUGAGGAGAGGUGGGGAUUUUUAAAUAUUGCUGCAAAUGGGUCACACCUCUUCAUUCAUUAAAUUAAAGGAAAGCACUACCUCAUAGAAUCAUAAAAUUGUAGAGUUGGAAGGGACCCUGGGGGUCAUUAAGUCCAGCCCUCUGCAAUGCAGGAAUCUCAAAUAAAGCACCAAUGACUGCUGGCUAUCCAACCUCUGCUUAAAAACCUCCAACGAAGAAGAGUCCACCACCUUCUGAGGGAAUCUGUUCCUGCCUCAUGCAAGUCAUGCCAGAAGAUGUGCAAUGGGCUCACCCUGCAGCCCUACAAACUCAACAUAGCCAUCAACCUCAAAUUGGACACUGUUCCUCUGUUCCUUCUAGCAUUUUAUUGUUCAGAAUUUAGCUCGUGCUGUUCCUAGUAUUCAGAUCUUUUUUAAAAAAACAAUCACUUUGCCAUGAUGUGACUGAAAGGUGACAGGAGGCGGCUAGGAGUCUGACAAUCUGCACAGCAUCCUCCCCUUAUACCAUAGAGGCUGCUUGUACCAGACAAAAACUAGUAGCGAUUUCUCACAGUUGUCAAAGGCCAGCCACCGCAUUUCAUGUAAUAGACAAAAGGUCUUCACACCACUGCAUUCUGUAUAACAGGAGUAUUCUGUCUCCCUAUCUCUCUGCUACAAAAUUAUUUUAAUGGACCCUGUCAAACUUUGUUUCCUAAUAACUAUGUCUUAAUUUAUCUCAAGAGAAAGAACAGCAUAUAACCUCUCACAAAUGACUAAGAAUAUUUGCCCUCAGGGCCAGCUCAAGACAUUUUGCUCCCUGAGGCAAAGGACAUUACCACUUUAUAUGGUCAUGGAUUCCCUCAAAGAAUCCUGGGAACUGUAGUUUUUUACCAGUGCUAAGAGUUGUUAGCAGGCUCCUACUCCCUUCACAGACCAACAAUGCUAGAGUGGUUUAACAAUCAAUCUCUCUUCCCAGGGAAGUCUAGGAACCGUAGAUCAGUGAAGAGAAUAGGAGGAUCUCCUAACUACUCUCAGCACUGUUAAUAAACUAACUUCCCAAUAUUCUUUGGGGGAAGCCAUGAUUGUUUAAAGUGGCAUGGGACUGCAUUAAAUGUCAAGUGCAGAUGGGGUCUUUCUGUCUCUUGACUGCCAAUAUCUGCCUCACUUCCACACUACACAUUGUAUUGUUAAGCACCGUGCAGAUGGAAGUAUGAGACAAUUUCAGCACCCCAUUGUUCACACAUUAGCAGAUAAAAAGGAGUACGAACCACAUGCUAUUUUAGCUCAUCUCAUAAAAUGUGAACAAGUUCUCUCUGAGCCCCCUUCAAUAUUCUUCUACAAUUACAACUUGUGUAACAUUUUCAAUAAGAAACUGAGAUUAGAUUACAGUUCUGGAAAGUAGAGCAUUGGCCCUUUUAAAAAUGUCUGUUGUUAACAGCCUUGCCAAAUUAAUUAUAUGUCCCUAAAACUGAAAUUAUUUCUGUGCUGGGAAACAGUCAUAUCUCUCUGCCCCCUCUCUUCGUUUGGCAAGUGUAAAGACUUCUUUCAAUCAAGCAUUUCCAGUGCAGUGCAGUUAGGGAUAUAAUUGAAUAGGUUGUAAAAUGUACAGUAUGUAGCAUUUGGAGGCCAGUCUGCUAGGGAUUUUCUUCAAGAAGCCUGGGUUACUGCACUGCAUCUUAACUGUCAAGCUAUUUUUUUCCUUGCUAGGUUUCAUUUUGUGUUAUUUCUUCACCUUUUGGAGACCCCUUACCUCUCCCCUCUUAAAUCUACACUCACCACCGAGCAGACAUAAUCCAAGAUUUUCAGUAAAUCAACACUAUAUGCUCCCUACUGACUAAGAGAAUUUGAUACUGACAGAUUAUUACACCUAGAAGAAAAAUACUGCCAUAGUUUCUCUAACAUUAUUUGCCUGGAAGUGAGAGCAGGGAGAGAGACGUGUGUGAUAUCCAUUAUGAAUGUAACAAUGCCAGUAUUCUGCUGUAAUAGAAUUAUUUUUAAUUUAUAUUUCAUGACAGAGAACAUAGGUUUCACCAUGAAUCUCUUUCCCCAUCUUUAGCACAUUUUGGCCACAAGGUCCUGGAGAUACAAUUAGCCUCCUUAAUCACUGUGAUUAUUUAGACCACAACAAUGCCAUUGUUUUAGCUCAUGAGAUCUAUCCAACACAAUAACAUUUUGUAUUUAUAUGAACGACAGAUUAUUCCACUUGAUAAUCUCAACAUGCUUUGCAAGCAUUUAAUUAAUGCAGCCUCUUAAUGGCACUGUGAAGUAGGUAAAUAUUCCUUUCUGUAUUUUACCAAGAAGAAUGCUAGAUGUAGUAGUAGGCUGAGAUAGUGUGUACAUUACCCUCCCUCAGAGCAGGAGGAAUGGAGAAUUUCAUGGGAGAUUAUUUCAAGAUCCUGCACAAUAGGAUAUUCUGAUUCAAGUUUGUUGCAAAAAUUCCUUGGAAACCAAGGUCCAGUUUGGGGCAAGAGAACCCCAGCAGAGAUUUAACAUGGCAAAACCUGCAGCAAAGAAAAGUGUGGAAAUAUAGACUGUAAAACCUUUAAAGUGAGCCCUUUCCAGUGAACUCCAAAAUGUCCCCUUUAUAAAGCUCCUUCCAAAGUUUCCUACUCCCCUUAGCAUAGAAAAAUGUUUGGAAAGUUAUAAAAUGGUUAUUUACAAACUCUCCAAAGGUCAGAUUCAUGUGGUCUUCCACACAGCAGUAAAAAACAAACAAACGUUGAACAGGCAGUAAAAUGUAGCUUGGUUACAAAAUGGUAAAAGUUCCUAAACUACUGGUAUAAGAAAACACUAUUUUCAGUCUCCAUUCUGGUCUGAAACAAAAGAGGCUGGUUAAAGCCAUGCGGCUGGAGGAAACAAUUCAGAGCUCCUCACACACCAUAAAGGCUGAGGGAACAAAGGCUUGGUCAUCUAUUUCUUUUCAAGGUGAGGGGAAGCGGCAUAAGCUAAUACUAAAGCAGGACAGAAGACAGGAGUGCCUGGUGUGCUCUGGUCCAUGAGGUCACGAAGAGUCGGACACAACUAAACGACUAAACAACAACAAAGCAGGACAGCUUACUCUAUGGCAUCAUCCCCUUCAUGCAUUCAUUAGACUCAAGCAUGCUGGUUAUAUGAGGCUGGUUUAGCCCACAAAGUAUUGGUAUGGUGGGCAUUUGGCUAGGGCUGCUUUCAGAAGUGUCUGCUAUCCAAUGGUUGUUCUUACUCAGUAAGCUACAAUGAGAAUUGCAGCUGACUUUCCCUACUAUCAAGAGUGCUGUACUUUUCUCUAUGAGUAUGUGCCAGUGGGUGUGGCAUAUUUGCUUUGGGUGCAGUCCUUCUGAAUGUUUUAACUGGGACAAAAAUGCUCAUCUAGCUAUGAAAUAAAGGUCUACAACACCAUAAUGCUGUAAUGACUAAUGGGCACCUAAUUUCAGUAGGAAUUCUUUUGCCAUUCUUUUGCCAACUGUUAAGGACCCAUCUGUUAACCUUGACCGCUAGUACCGGUCCUGAUGCCUUGGUAUGGAAACAUUUUUCUGAAUCUCUUUGUUAUUGUGGUAAAUGAAAAGUGGUGUAUAAAUUUGCUAAAUAAAGAAAUAUAUUUCAUAUUUUUUUCUUUAAAAACAAACAAACAAACACUUCCUGGUCACUUUUAGCAACCAGAUGGUUUUAGCAACAUCAUUGAUGACAGUGACUGCAAAGGGUCUUUUAAAAAUCUUUUUUAAAGCAACAUUAUAGUGGUUUGUUUUUUUAUGCACUUUCUCCUAUAACCCUUCAGAACAGCUCCAGCUGUUGGCAGUACAUAAGCACUUCCGGUUCCACUGGGGAAUCUGUCUUACUGCAGAGACCAGUAUGUAGACAGUAGCCUUGAGCAGGGAUGGAAGGAUAAAUUAUGUUGCAUGAAUCCUCCCUUCCUCUGUGAAGGGACUGCAGGGAAAGAGGAAGGCAAAUUGGGCUCUGAGACUGCACUGUUGCUAUACACAGCACACUUCUGCACACCAAAGGAAAGAUUAGCAACGCCCUCCUCUUCCCCUCCAAAGUCACUGGAUGGGGAAGGGCAAAAUCCAGCUGUUUCUUCUCCUUUGCCCCUGGGAGAAGAGAUUUCCCCCAAAGUUCACCUUCCCACCAUCACCACCCCCCAUUGGUUUUCACAGGGAUCCCAGUCACUUGUAUGUAUUAACAAAGCAAUAAACUUUUAGAAAACUUAUUUAGAGUAAUAGGUACAGUCAGUCAUCAUUUCCAUUUACAGGCCAAGGCCACCCAUUGAAUCCUCCUUAGCAAAGGAGGUAUUUGAACUCAGGUUGACCAUGCUAUUUUCUGGGAUUACAUUGGUUAAUACGCUGUGUUUAAAUCCCAGGCAUUUUUGUAAGAUUAAGUCCUAAUAAUGACUCUUUAGAUUUGCACAGUAGCAUAGCACACGGCUGGGGCUAUACAAAUAUGAUAAAACAAAAUAACUGUAUCAUUAACACCAAUCAAAACAUCAUUUUGUGAUAAAUCCACAUGCAAAUUGCUCCCCCUUACUCCAGUUUGUUUACUUAUUUUUUUGAAAGGAACAUUCACUGAAUGAUUCGCCGUUAAUGGAGAAGAGAAGAUUAAGAAACAAAAACAGUAGCUUCAAUCCAUCAUUAGGGAAUUAAUCAAUUGGCAACCAGUGCAGGCAGCUAUUUAGAUCUGUGGCCUGAACAGCUUAAUUGGGAGAAGCAUGUUAAAAGGUCUAGAAUGAUGUUCAAAGGAACAUAAAUAGUACAUUUUGGACUUCUCAUCUGGCUUUGAUUUAACAGUUUCUAUACCAGGCACUUUAGGAAGAGAGCAAGAAAGAGAGAACACAUUCUAGGCCUAAUCAGAAUAUUCUUUCUUGACCUCAUAACAAAGGGUCAUUUGCAUUUUAAAAAAGUAAACAAAAAUAGCUUUAAAAGGGUUUGACUCCUCAGCAUUUGAACAUUUUUGCCAGCUAUCUCUGAAGAGUACAUUAAUAAUGAAAAAAACACCCAGAAAUAUCAAUCGGAAAAAGAAACUCACAACAAAAGCAGACAGACUCCACUCCCCCCAUCUCAAAAUAUUGAGAAUCUCCAGGGGCAGCACUCCCUGGGUUUGAUUUGUUUUUGGGUGGGGAUAAGGAGUAGGGACAAUCCAGGCAGAGGCAUCACUACCGCAGUUCAGGACUCCAGAGAGAUGCACUUAGCACUAACAAGGUGCCUUCAACCAGUCUCUCUCUCUCAACUUACCCCCUGUUUUGUCUAUGUUCUAAAACUACCGUACCUUUGGUGCUCAGACAAGGAGGAAGGGUGUUAGGCAGAUAGAGAGACACUGUUGGACUCAAGUGCCUAGCAACCCCAGCUAGCAUGGCCAGUGGUGAUGAGAGAGUUCUAAUACAACACAACAUCUGGAGGGCUACAAGUUGAGGACAGCUGCUUUACUCUCUCUCACACUCUCACGCAUGCACAGACACACAACACAAACCUUUAUCAGCUUUCUUUCUCUUAGAUGGGCAAGGGAGUAUGUGUAACCUUUCUGAAGCUUUGAUGAUGUGUGUCCCCCCCUGCAACUUCUACACAUUCUAUACAGAUGUCUGAGUAUUUCCGAACCAUUAGCAAUCUCCAUUAUCGAGCAAUCUCCUUAGCAAAGUCACAAUAAGGUUUUUACUCAGUUAAUGGAUAGGUUACACUUGAAUCUCCUGCCAACCUAGCAGUUCGAAAGCACGUCAAAGUGCAAGUAGAUAAAUAGGUACCGCUCCGGCGGUAAACGGCGUUUCCGUGCGCUGCUCUGGUUCGCCAGAAGCGGCUUAGUCAUGCUGGCCACAUGACCCGGAAGCUGUACGCCAGCUCCCUCGGCCAAUAAAGCGAGAUGAGCACCGCAACCCUAGAGUCGGUCACAACUGGACCUACUGGUCAGGGGUCCCUUUACCUUUACCUUUAUACUUGAAUAGUUUUCCCUUCCUGUUCCAGGUGUGAUUUCCAAGCCAUCCGAAAGAAGCAAGACCAUGCCCCAGAAUGCCUAACAGGGCUUAGCCUAUGAAAUGUGUGUGUCCUUCUACCUAUCUAAGGAACAAAUUAUACAUGAUAUUAAAUGUAUCUUUGCAUUUAAUGUGCACUAUUAAAAAAGCAUAAUUAUCAG